UCUCCUUUCCAUCUCCUCUUUUUCCACCCUCACCGUGUCUCCUUCUUCUCUCCCCCCCA
rnacentral:ribozyme from 1 species